UCCUGCCUGACCCCGAACAUCUGCCC
rnacentral:piRNA from 1 species